rnacentral:rRNA from 1 species
CCUACGGGAGGCAGCAGUGGGGAAUAUUGGACAAUGGGCGAAAGCCUGAUCCAGCAAUGCCGCGUGAGUGAUGAAGGCCUUAGGGUUGUAAAGCUCUUUUACCAGGGAUGAUAAUGACAGUACCUGGAGAAUAAGCUCCGGCUAACUCCGUGCCAGCAGCCGCGGUAAUACGGAGGGAGCUAGCGUUGUUCGGAAUUACUGGGCGUAAAGCGUACGUAGGCGGUUAUUCAAGUCAGAGGUGAAAGCCUGGAGCUCAACUCCAGAACUGCCUUUGAAACUAGAUAGCUAGAAUCUUGGAGAGGUGAGUGGAAUUCCGGAGUGUAGAGGUGAAAUUCGUAGAUAUUCGGAAGAACACCAGUGGCGAAGGCGACUCACUGGACAAGUAUUGACGCUGAGGUACGAAAGCGUGGGGGAGACAAACGAGGUAUUAGACUACCCGUGGUACGUCCGACGACCGUAAACGAUGAUAACUAGCUGUUCGGCUCUACGAGNUGUGUGNGNNACACNAUAUAGUCG